AGCUUCUUAGCGCAGUAGGUAGCGCGUUGGGCUCAUAUCUUCCCUAUGAAACCUUUCCACUCUCGAGUGGUGAUACCCAAAGGUCGUCGGAUCGAAACCGACAGAAGCUA
rnacentral:tRNA from 1 species